rnacentral:lncRNA from 1 species
CAUGACGAAGCGUCCUGCACAGAUUGCCGCUUUCUCGAUAGAGGAUCACCGUCCUGACUCUCGCCGAAAUCGUCAGGAUUUUUCAUCCCAAAAUUACGUGAGCGCACGGUACGACUACAGCUGCUGCAUUGGAUUAUUGUUGAGCGUCAUUACCGAUUCGGUGAAUCACAAAAUCGGAGGGUCCUCAAAAGUUUAUCAUCGAAACGAAUGUCAUUCGGCAAAGGCAGAUUACAGCAAAAUUUUCUUCACAAUUGGAUAAUCCGAUUAAAUAAUUUGCUAAAUUAAAGGGGGCAGGGCAUAAAUUUUGUCACGGUUGAGCUUCGAAGCGAUAAUUUCAACAAUGCAGGAUAUAAGCGAAUGAAAAGAUUUUUACCACUUCCUGUAAUUAAAAAAUAUAAAGAUUCGACGAGUAUCGAACGAUGAGUAUCAGUUGUUGGAUCUGUUAUGCAGUUGGAUGAUAAAGAGAGAAAAAAGUGCAAGUGAUUACAUUUACGAGGACACUGCGAUUGUCAGAGAUGACUAC